rnacentral:lncRNA from 1 species
CUUUACAUUUUCUUUUUUUUAAUUUCCCUUCUCAGGACUUAAAAUCUCCAAAUCAGAGGGAUGAAAUUGCAGGGGCACGAGCCACACUGAAGGAGAACUCCCCCCUCUUGCAUUCCAUUUGCUCAGCUUGUUUGGAACAUUCUGAUGUUGCUUCCCUCAAAGCCAGUAAGGAUACAGUUUGUGAAGAAAUUCAGAAUGCCCUCAAUGUAAUUUCAAAUGCUUCCCAAGGCAUCCAGAAUAUGCCGGCCCCAUUGGAACCACAAGCAGAAACCCUGGGAAGUGCACUCGAUGAGCUGGAGGUAUGUUGAGAGAGAGGUAAAGUGUGAU